rnacentral:rRNA from 1 species
GACGAACGCUGGCGGCGUGCUUAACACAUGCAAGUCGAACGGAAAGGCCCUGCUUUUGUGGGGUGCUCGAGUGGCGAACGGGUGAGUAACACGUGAGUAACCUGCCCUUGACUUUGGGAUAACUUCAGGAAACUGGAGCUAAUACCGGAUAGGAGCUCCUGCUGCAUGGUGGGGGUUGGAAAGUUUCGGCGGUUGGGGAUGGACUCGCGGCUUAUCAGCUUGUUGGUGGGGUAGUGGCUUACCAAGGCUUUGACGGGUAGCCGGCCUGAGAGGGUGACCGGCCACAUUGGGACUGAGAUACGGCCCAGACUCCUACGGGAGGCAGCAGUGGGGAAUAUUGCACAAUGGGCGGAAGCCUGAUGCAGCAACGCCGCGUGGGGGAUGACGGCCUUCGGGUUGUAACCCGCUUUCGCCUGUGACGAAGCGUGAGUGACGGUAAUGGGUAAAGAAGCACCGGCUAACUACGUG